rnacentral:rRNA from 1 species
AGAGCGAACGCUGGCGGCAGGCCUAAAACAUGCAAGUCGAACGAGCCCUUCGGGGUUAGUGGCGGACGGGUGAGUAACACGUGGGAACGUGCCUUUUGGUUCGGAACAACUCAGGGAAACUUGAGCUAAUACCGAAUAAGCCCUACGGGGGAAAGAUUAUCGCCAUUAGAGCGGCCCGCGUCUGAUUAGCUAGUUGGUGAGGUAACGGCUCACCAAGGCGACGAUCAGUAGCUGGUCUGAGAGGAUGAUCAGCCACAUUGGGACUGAGACACGGCCCAAACUCCUACGGGAGGCAGCAGUGGGGAAUAUUGGACAAUGGCGCAAGCCUGAUCCAGCCAUGCCGCGUGAGUGAUGAAGGCCCUAGGGUUGUAAAGCUCUUUUGUGCGGGAAGAUAAUGACGGUACCGCAAGAAUAAGCCCCGGCUAACUUCGUGCCAGCAGCCGC